UUUCAUUUCCCUCUUCUAUUACAUUUUCUGUGUACUAGUUCUGCCCCUCCCUUUGGUUGUUGGCAGUUUUUUUCCCAGCCUUUGUCUCAUCCGUACUUUCAGCUUCCUGGUUUUGAGCAGCGUUUAAGACUUUCUCACACUACAUGUCUGUGUCCUGACAGGCCUCUAACUUUAAUUGAUUUAACUGUGAUGGAGACAACUGACUUCAACAGGGACAAAUUAACUGAAUGGGGCCUCAGUCAGUACAUUCAGAAAUUUGAAGAGGAAGGUGUUGACAAGAAGACUUUUUUAAGUCUUGGAGAUUCAAACAGGCUUAAUGAGUUGAUUUCUCAAAUUGGACCAAGAGCUAAAUUCAAACAGAGACUUAAAGAAUAUGCAAAG